rnacentral:lncRNA from 1 species
UAGUGGUUGGCAGUUACCAAAGUUCAUCUGAAGAAGCUCGCAUGAAGGAGCACUUGCUUCAUGGAGUUCAGUUAUUGUUUGUAGCUGUUUGAUGGUGGAUUCCUAAGCAGCUGAGCUCAACUGCUGCUCUACCAAGAUAUUAAGACAUGUUGUUCUAGCUAUGCUAUAUCUAACUAUUGUAACUGUAUACUGUGAUUGGGGGUGUACUGUCAGUGUCAUGACAUUGCUAUUCAUCUGUGUCAGUGAGCUAGAAAUACUUGGAGUUCAGUUAUUGUUGAACCAGUGCAGUUUAUCUGCACUGUCAACUCUUGUCACAUUUCAUGAACUUUGGUGAUUCAGAGCCAUUGUGAACUUUGGUCACUUGUGAAUUCUCAGAGUGAUUCAGAGCCAUUGUGAACGACUUUGGCCAAGCCAAUCAGGAUUACUGUAGGAUGUGAGCAACCCUGUGGUGUAUACAAACAAUGUCAGAUUUGGCACACUGCGGUGUAUACAACUAAAAAAAUCAGAAUCUGUUCUAAAACAAGGAUGCCAUUUGUCACAAAACCAAAUUGCUCGAAUAUACCUCAAAAUACAAGCAUAAAACAGUGCUUGAAGCAACUUUCACACGAAAUACAAGCAUAAGUGAUUAAACACUCAUAUACCUCAAACAAUUUAUGCAAAAACCAAACUGCUCUUAAACUGCUCUUAAUAUGUUGAUCAGUCAGUGAUUUACUGCCAUGCUGUGGUGUUGUUGUACCGGCUGCCACCUAGGAGGAUGGUGCGACACUGCCAGAGUGUCCUGAAUGUGGGAUUUGGCCGUACAGGUGACCUUCCUCCCUUGUGAAUGGCGUACAACUCUUGUCGCGGCUUGAUUUUGCCUGCUUCUGCGAGCAUGGAAUCUCAUGUUAUGACCGUGCACGUAUGUACCUGUUUGGUUCGUGAAAAGUGGAGGCGACAACACACAUGCGUACUUUGAUUUGGUGGUGCUUUUCAAAUACAUGGUAGCUCCGUGGAGAAACCUAGGCCGACCCUAGUUAGUCAUAUCGGACAUUGUUUGGAGCUUGUUCAGACAUGAUCUCUAGAGUGAAAGCCCACGAUCUGGCCUUCAGUGGCCGGCGACGACGAGGCUUACACGUAGUGCCCUUUGUCCAAUUCAAAUAGCUAGUGGAUUAAUUCAAAGUCUCAAAAUAAAUAUUUCUAAGCCUCCAAAAAUAUUGGCUUGAAUUUUACCUCUUGCCAGUAUUUUCAAGGUUUAACAGGAACAUUUUCUUGGGCUCAUUUGAAGAGAUUUUUUUUAAUGAUUUAUGAGGCUUUGGAAAUUCCCACAAUUCAAUUUCCUUCGAAUUUAACAUGAUGCAUGAUGAUUAUGCAAUGAUAAGUAAUGACUAAGCUAGGGUUGCGACAUCUGAAGGUGUUGUCAAGAUAUGGUUGGUGCCCAUGGACGUUGAUGCAUUUCGUCGUUCGCUAUUUUGGUCGAUUCAGUUUUCUUCUAUUCUCUUUUCUCUUAUGUUCAUGUUAAACUAUUUUGAUCUCUGUAUAGUUUUGGUUUUGUAUGACAUUGCUCUUUGCGGGCGUGAUUCUUUUUAUCUGUAUGUUGAUUAUUUGCGUAUUAGUUAUACAGAGGCCGGGUGUACAAUCAACUUGAUGCUUUAUUAUGAGUUAAUAAAACUGCUCCACACAGAACAAACUUUGGGUGAUCUGUCACGACUAGAUGUUGACAAGAUUCAUUCGUUGGAUUUAAUCCUUGUCCCCAAAUCGUUCAAAUAUUAUUGUCGGCGUACUACAUCCGUCUCGGUGAAUAAGGCACUCGCGUAGUUUUAGGUCGACGAUUUAACUAUCUAAAUAUGUAUUAUAUGUGACAAAAAAUAUAUAUUUAGAAACUACAUCCGUGUAGAAAUCUAGUGAUAUAUUUUUCAUGACAUAUUGUUGGAAAUAUGCCCUAGAGGCAAUAAUAAAUUAGUUAUUAUUAUAUUUCCUUGUUCACGAUAAUCGUUUAUUAUCCAUGCUAUAAUUAUAUUGAUAGGAAACUCAGAUACAUGUGUGGGUACAUAGACAACACCAUGUCCCUAGUAAGCCUCUAGUUGACUAGCUCCUUGAUCAAUAGAUGAUUACGGUUUCCUAACCAUGGACAUUGGAUGUCGUUGAUAACCGGAAUCACAUCAUUAGCAGAAUGAUGUGAUGGACAAGACCCAAUCCUAAGCCUAGCACAAAGAUCGUAGUUCGUAUGCUAAAGCUUUUCUAAUGUCAAGUAUCAUUUCCUUAGACCAUGAGAUUGUGCAACUCCCGGAUACCGUAGGAAUGCUUUGGGUGUACCAAACGUCACAACGUAACUGGGUGGCUAUAAAGGUGCACUACAGGUAUCUCCGAAAUUGUCUGUUGGGCUGGCACGAAUCGAGACUGGGAUUUGUCACUCCAUGUAAACGGAGAGGUAUCUCUGGGCCCACUCGGUAGGACAUCAUCAUAAUGUGCACAAUGUGACCAAGGGGUUGAUCACGAGAUGAUGUGUUACGGAACGAGUAAAGAGACUUGCCGGUAACGAGAUUGAACAAGGUAUCGGUAUACCGACGAUCGAAUCUCGGGCAAGUAUAAUACCGCUAGACAAAGGGAAUUGUAUACGGGAUUGAUUGAGUCCUUGACAUCGUGGUUCAUCCGAUGAGAUCAUCAUGGAACAUGUGGGAGCCAACAUGGGUAUCCAGAUCCCGCUGUUGGUUAUUGACCGGAGAACGUCUCGGUCAUGUCUGCAUGGUUCCCGAACCCGUAUGGUCUACACACUUAAGGUUCGACGAUGCUAGGGUUAUAAAGGAAGUUUGUAUGUGGUUACCGAAUGUUGUUCGGAGUCCCGGAUGAGAUCCCGGACGUCACGAGGAGUUCCAGAAUGGUCCGGAGGUAAAGAUUUAUAUAUGUGAAGUCCUGUUUUGGUCACCGGAAAAGUUUCGGGUUUUAUCGGUAACGUACCGGGACCACCGGGAGGGUCCCAGGGGUCCACCAAGUGGGGCCAUCGGCCCGGGAGGGCUGCAUGGGCCAAGUGUGGGAGGGGACCAGCCCCAUGUGGGCUGGUGCGCCCCCCCACAAGGGCCCAAGGCAUCCUAGGGUUUGGGGAGGGGGUGCUUCCACCUAACUUGGGGGGGGGGGGGCAAGUUUCCCCCCUCUCCCCCCUUGGCCGCCACCCUUAGAUGGGAUUGGGGCUGCCGCACCCCUUGGGGUGGAAACCCUAGAGGGGGCGCACCCCCUUCCCUCUCCCCUAUAUAUACUUGAGGGUUUUGGGGCUGCCAACACAUGAGUUUUGACCUCUCCCUGGCGCAGCCCUACCUCUCUCCCUUUUCCUCUCCCGCGGUGCUUGGCGAAGCUCUGCAGGAUUGCCACGCUCCUCCACCACCACCACACCGUUAUGCUGCUGCUGGACGGAGUCUUCCUCAACCUCUCCCUCCCUCCUUGCUGGAUCAAGGUGUGGGAGACGUCAUCGGGCUGUACGUGUGUUGAACGCGGAGGUGCCGUCCGUUCGGCACUAGGAUCUCCGGUGAUUUGAAUCACGACGAGUAUGACUCCUUCAACCGCGUUCUCAUGAACGCUUCCGCUUAGCGAUCUACAAGGGUAUGUAGAUGCACUCUCCUUCCCCUCGUUGCUGGUUUCUCCAUAGAUAGAUCUUGGUGACACGUAGGAAAUUUUUGAAUUUCUGCUACGUUCCCCAACAGUGGCAUCAUGAGCUAGGUCUAUUGCGUAGAUUCUUUGCACGAGUAGAACACAAAGUAGUUGUGGGCGUUGAUUUUGUUCAAUAUGCUUACCGUUACUAGUCCAAUCUUGUUUCGGCGGUAUUGUGGGAUGAAGCGGCCCGGACCGACCUUACACGUACACUUACGUGAGACAGGUUCCACCGACUGACAUGCACUUGGUGCAUAAGGUGGCUAGCGGGUGCCAGUCUCUCCCACUUUAGUCGGAACGGAUUUGAUGAAAAGGGUCCUUAUGAAGGGUAAAUAACAAUUGACAUAUCACGUUGUGGUUUUUUGCGUAGGUAAGAAACGUUCUUGCUAGAAACCCAUAGCAGCCACGUAAAAUAUGCAAACAACAAUUAGAGGACGUCUAACUUGUUUUUGCAGGGUAUGCUAUGUGAUGUGAUAUGGCCAAAAGAAUGUGAUGAAUGAUAUAUGUGAUGUAUGAGAUUGAUCAUGUUAUUGUAAUAGGAAUCACGACUUGCAUGUCGAUGAGUAUGACAACCGGCAGGAGCCAUAGGAGUUGUCUUAAUUUAUUGUAUGACCUGCGUGUCAUUGAACAACGCCAUGUAAUUACUUUACUUUAUUGCUAACCGGUAGCCAUUGUAGUAGAAGUAAUAGUUGGCGAGACAACUUCAUGAAGACACGAUGAUGGAGAUCAUGAUGAUGGAGAUCAGGGUGUCAUGCCGGUGACGAUGAUGAUCAUGGAGCCCCGAAGAUGGAGAUCAAAAGGAGCAAAAUGAUAUUGGUCAUAUCAUGUCACUAUUUGAUUGCAUGUGAUGUUUAUCAUGUUUAGGCAUCUUGUUUGCUUAGAACGACGGUAGUAAAUAAGAUGAUCCCUUAUUAAAAUUUCAAGAAAGUGUUCCCCCUAACUGUGCACCGUUGCGAAAGUUCGUCGUUUCUAAGCACCACGUGAUGAUCGGGUGUGAUGGAUUCUUACGUUCACAUACAACGGGUGUAAGCUAGAUUUACACACGCGAAACACUUAGGUUGACUUGACGAGCCUAGCAUGUACAGACAUGGCCUCGGAACACAAGAGACCGAAAGGUCGAGCAUGAGUCGUAUAGUAGAUACGAUCAACAUGAAGAUGUUCACCGAUGAUGACUAGUCCGUCUCACGUGAUGAUCGGACACGGCCUAGUUGACUCGGAUCAUGUAAUCACUUAGAUGACUAGAGAGAUGUCUAUCUGAGUGGGAGUUCAUAAGAUGAACUUAAUUAUCCUGAACAUAGUCAAAUGAUCUUUGCAAAUUAUGUCGUAAGCUCGCGCUUUAGUUCCACUGUUUAGAUAUAUUCCUAGAGAAAAUAUAGUUGAAAGUUGAUAGUAGCGAUUAUGCGAUCAAUAGAAAGCUUAUGUCCUUAAUGCACCGCUCAGUGUGCUGAACCCCAAACGUCAUUUGUCGAUGUUGCGAACAUCGGACAUACACGUUUUGAUAACUACGUGAUAGUUCAGUUAAAUGGUUUAAGUAGAGGCACCAAAGGCGUUUUUUCGAAACGUCGCGGAACAUAUGAGAUGUUUCGAGGGCUGAAAUUGGGAUUUCAGGCUCGUGCCCACGUCAAGAGGUAUAAGACCUCCGACGAUUUUCUUAGCCUGCAAACUAAGGGAGAAAAGCUCAAUCGUUGAGCUUGUGCUCAGAUUGUCUGAAGUGCAACAAUCUCUUGAAUUGAGUGGGAGCUGAUCUUCCAGAUGAGAUAGUGAUGUUUCUCCAAAGUCAUUGCUACAAGCUGCUAGAGCUUCGUGAUGAACUAUAACAUAUCAGGGAUAGAUAUGAUGAUCCUUGAGGUAUUCGCGAUGUUUGACACCGCGAAAGUAGAAAUCAAGAAGGAGCAUCAAUUGUUGAUGGUUGGUGAAACCACUAGUUUCAAGAAGGGCAAGGGCAAGAAGGGAUACUUCCUGAAACGGCAAAUCAGCUGCUGCUCCAGUGAAGACACCCAAGGUUGAACCCAAACCCGAGACGAAGUGCUUCUGUAAUAAGGGGAACAGCCACUGGAGCGGAAUUACCCUAGAUACUUGGUAGAUGAGAAGGCUGGCAAGGUCGAUAGAAGUAUAUUGGAUAUAUAUUAUGUUAAUGUGUACUUUACUAGUACUCCUAGUAGCACCAGGGUAUUAGAUACCGGUUCGGUUGCUAAAUGUUAGUAACUCGAAAUAAAAGAGCUACGGAAUAAACGGAGACUAGCUAAAGGCGAGCUGACGAUAUGUGUUGGAAGUGUUUCCAAGUUUGAUGUGAUCAAACAUCACACGCUCCCUCUACCAUCAAGAUUAGUAUUAAACCUGAAUAAUUGUCAUUUGGUGUUUGCAUUGAGCAUAGACAUGAUUGGAUUAUGUCUAUCGCAAUACGGUUAUUCAUUUAAGGAGAAUAAUGGUUACUGUCACGCCCAAUAUGCGACCCUAUCCAAAAGGAACUCGAAGGUCCCACCAAGGAUAGACCCACAUAUUGAAACGCUUUUGCAAGGUGGAUAUCAUUACAUCAACAUUAUAUAAUAGAUGGGGAUACAUACAUAAGGCAUACAAUGCCACACGAAUACAACAAUAUAUCAUACACAAUAUCAACAUCCGUCUACGGAUAAAACACAAACAGAAGCUCAAACGACAUCCACCCUGCUAGCCCAGGCUGCCGACCUGGAACCUAUCCCUAAUCGAAGAAGGAGAAGAAGAACUCAACGCAAGCAAGCAUCGCUCUCGCGUCAUGAUCAUCGCAUAACCUGUACCUGCAACUGUUGUUGUAGUAAUCUGUGAGCCACGAGGACUCAACAAUCCCAUUACCAUGGGUAUCAAGACUAGCAAAGCUUAAUGGGAAAGAAAGGGGUAAAGUGGUGAGGCUGCAGCAGCGACUAAGCAUAUAUGGUGGCUAACAUACGCAAAUAAGAGUGAGAAGAGAACAAGCGAAACGGUCGUGAAGCUAGCAAUGAUCAAGAAGUGAUCCUGAACUCCUACUUACGUCAAUCAUAACCCGGAAACCGUGUUCACUUCCCGGACUCCGCCGAGAAGAGACCAUCACGGCUACACACACGGUUGAUGCGUUUUAAUUCGGAUCUGGUGUCAAGUUAUCUACAACUGGACAUUAACAAAUUCCCAUCUGCCUAUAACCGCAGGCACGGCUUUCGAAAGAUUAUACCCUGCAGGGGUGUCCCAACUUAGCCCAUGACAAGCUCUCGCGAUCAACGAAGGAAUAGACCUUCUCCCAGGAAGACCCGAUCAGACUCGGAAUCCCAGUUUACAAGACAUUUCGACAAUGGUAAAACAAGACCAGCAAAGCCUCCCGCUGUGCCGACAAAUCCCGAUAGGAGCUGCACAUAUCUCGUUCUCAGGGCACACCGGAUUGUCCAGACUUCCGGUAGGCCAGCCCAGAGUUGCCCCUGGUGGUCACCAGCGGCCGACAGUUUGGACCAACACUCACAACGAGCACUGGCCCGGGGGGGGGAUAAAAUAAAGAUGACCCUCGGGCUCCGGAAACCCAAGGGAAAAAGGGCUAGGUGAGGCAAAUGGUAAAACCAAUGUUGGGCCUUGUUGGAGGAUUUUUAUUCAAAGCGAACUGUCAAGGGGGUCCCAUAAAUCACCCGACCGCGUAGGGAACGCAAAAUUCGGGAACAUAACACCGGUAUGACGGAAACUAGGGCGGCAAGAGUGGAACAAAACACCAGGCAAAAGGCCGAGUCUUCCACCCUUUACCAAAUAUAUAGAUGCAUUAAUAAUAUAAAAGAUAUUGUGAUAUCCCAACCAAAAUCCUGUUCACCAUGGAGAAAUCUUCAACUUCACCUGCAACUAGCAACGCUAUAAGAGGGGCUGAGCAAAGCGGUAACAUAGCCAAACAACGGUUUGCAUAGGAAAGGUGUCAAAGGUUAGAGGUUCAUGGCAACAUGGGAUGGCUCGACAAACAGAUGAUAGGUAGCGCAGCAAAGCGAUAGAACGAAGCAACUAGCAUAGCAAUGAUAGUAGUGAGAUCCAGGGUAGCGGUCAUCUUGCCUGAAAUCCCGCAAGGAAGAAGAACGAGUCCAUGAAGUAGACGAACCAACAUAGUCGAACGAAUCCUCACGAACGCAAUGUUACCGGAACUAAGAAGCAACACCGGAAAGAAGCAAACAACAUGGUAAACACACCAGCAUAAUCAUGGCAUGAUGCACAAACAAGUAUGAUGCAUGUCCGGUUUAAUGAGGCAUGGCACGGCAAAGUGCAACAAACGAUACUACAAGUUAAGUGGAGCUCAAUAUGCAACGAGUUGCAUAUUAACAAAACACCACAUGGACAUAUUUAGUUUAAUCUCGGUUAUGCACCCAAUAAUAUUAAAUGUUGAUUAACAUGGCAAGAGGUGAAGCGUAUGAAAAACUACCUAUCUAGACAAGUUUAAAUGAGGCCGGAACAACAAAACAACAAUUCCGAAAAUCCCCAUGUGCAUAAAAUGAAUUUGGUACUGUUCUGUCCUGAACCACAUUUUAAGGUUGUUAAACAGGAAAAUAAAGUGGAUCAUGUUAAUCUAGGCAUUUUUCCACCCCAUUUACAUAUAAAGUUUAAUAAAUUCGGAGCUAUGGUUAUCUAGUUAUGAAUUAAAGCAUUUUAGCAUGGCAUAUUAGCAAAUUUAAAUAAGCAACAAGUUAACCAUUUUAAACAUGGGUGAAAAUGGCAUAUUAUUAAUCUACACAAUUUUCUGAGCAUCUUACAUAUAAAGUUUGUUUAAAUCCGAUGCAUGGUUAAUUAGUUAUUACAUGCAUGAGGUCUAGGGGGUUUUCUGUAAAACUGAUAAUGCACUGGAUAAUGUCUAAAAUCGCAGGCAGGGAAAAAAAAUACAUCGGGCCGAAACUGCAGCCUGGCCCAACAUGAGAAAAAAACAAAAGGAGGGGCGCUGGGGGUGGCCUCACCAUGGGCCAAGCCCGAUUGGAAACAGAGGGAGGCCGACUGGGCUUGGGGAGGAGGCUGGCGCGCUGGGCUGCGAAGGGGAGGGGCCGAGGCCCAUGUGGGGAGGUCGGGCCACGAGGCCGGCGGCGUGCUGGCGGGAGCUGGGCUGGGCCGGCUUGAGGCCCACGCGCACACGCGUGCACGAGCACGCGAGGCGACGAGCUCCUCGUUCCUGAACAGGGACGAGGCAGGGUGGCGGCGCAGAUGGCGCCGGCGGCGAGCAGGCUCGAGGGCGGCGGCGGGGCGGAUCCGGCAAGGGCGGGGCCGGCAGAGGCCGGAUCUGGCAGCGGCGGGUCCAUUCCCGGCGACGAACGGCGGCGGGGACGAGUCUUCCGGGCGGAGGCGGACCCGAGCUCGGGCGCGGCCAUGGCAGAGCUCCUGCGGAAGAGAAGGGGUCAGCGGGGGCGCAGGAGAAGUGGAGGAGGAGAAGGGAGAGAUGAGGAGGCAGGGCUCCGGCCUGGCAAAGCUUCGGCGGCGGCGGCGCGCUGCUCCGGCAGGACGAGGAGGCGCUGGGGCGACGAGGGCUCGGGGUCGAGGGGCUCCUCCCCUCGAUCCAGAUCGGGAGCGAGAGUCGUGGGGCGCUCGGGCCCUCACGGGCUGCGGCGGCGCGGCCUCUGGCCGGGCGGGCCCUGCGGCGCUGAGGGGGAGCGCGGGGAACAGGUCGGGCGGCGGCUGACCGCUCAGGACGUGCCACGUGGCGGAGGUGGGCUGGAGGGCGCCGGAUUUGGAGGGGGAAGGCGGCGGCGCGGCCCCCGAGGUGGGAGGAGGUGGUGGCUGCGGGUUGGGGGUGCGGAAAACGAGGAGGAGGGGGGGGGGUAGGCUGGCAAAAUUGGAAGGGGAAGGAGUAUAUAAAGGGUAGGGGCUAGGGUUUGAGGGUUUGGGGGCGUUUCGGGGCCUCAGAUCGACAUCGGACGGCUCCGGACAGAGGGGGGGACUAGGUGGGCUAGUGGGCUGUGUGAGAGAGAGGCUUGGGCCGAGAGGAGAGAAGAGAAGUGCAGCCCGGCGGCAGUUUCGGAGACCGAAACGUCCGACGAUUAAACCGACUAUAUCGCGGUUAUAAAUAUAACGGUUGGGCAGUCAAACGGACUCCGAAUGCGACGAAACUUGACAGGCGGCCUGUCUACACUAUAAUAAGACCGCACGACAAGUUGCAACCCAUUCCGAGAACAUUUUUAUGCCGCUUAUAAAAAUAAUAUUUCGGAGGUGCCGCGGGCGCGUGCGAGUGUGUCUGGACUCCGAACGGACAACGGAGAGAACCGGCGGGACCCGAACGGAUGCAAGUUUUAUGAAAACGAUGCCGAUGCAAUGCGCAUGAUGCUAUGAGAUGAGAUGCAUAACAAGAACAAAAUGCAAAACAACAGAGAAACAACCAACCACGGAGGAAAUAACAUAUAGCAUCUCCGGAAAAGGCAAGAGUUGGAGUUACGAAUAUGGAAAGUUGUAUCCGGGGCGUUACAAUACUCCACCACUACAAGAGGAUCUCGUCCCGAGAUCUAGGAUGGCACCGGAGGGAAACGGAAGAGGAAGAUAAGCGGUAAAAGUAAGUUGCUUCUUCGACCAAUGAGUGAAACCAUGAACCUUGAGAGGUUGAGCAACUAGAGAUGAACGAGAUUGCAAACAAUCCGUUAGAAAAGAGGAACAAGGGAUACGACGAGAACCAAGAGGUUGCAAAGAUAUGAUUGACGAGCACAAUGGACAAGAAGGAAUUGAAACCACUCUGGUUGCAACGAGAUAAGAAUGAAUAAGAAUGAUAUAAUUUUGGCAGCACUCCGACUGAACAUGGAAGGAAUAGAACAUGAACUUGAGAAGAUGGGAUGAUACUUGAUGAAAUCAACAACACACUGCCUCUGGAACUAUUGAAAUAAUGGCACAAUGGGUAAGAAGGAUUUCAGACAGCACUAAGGUUGAAAAGAGAGGCAAAACUUGAUAAGAUGAAAGCCUUGAAGAGAUGACACAACACUCCGGUUAACUGGAUAAGCACGAAAAGAACACGAUCCUCACAAUUCGAGAUGAUGAGUGAAGAGAGCAACAUCACAAAGCCUCCGGAACGAAAGAAUAGAAGCUAGAUUGUUGGGAUAACGGGCGGAGAAGAAAAUGAAAUCUUCUACCACAAAUGAACUUGGAAAGCAUCCUUGCAAAGAAGAAUUGAACAGAGUUGUUGGAAAAUCAACAACGAAAGACACAAGUUUGUAGUGGGCUUAUGGAAACAUCUCAACAGUUGAGGUGAAAUUCUGCCACUAACGAAAAACAAUUGCUUGUUUGAGAUCAAAGAAGAGAUGAAAACUUCUUUCACCGAGAAGGAUAUGGAGAAAGCUUGGAUCAAUGAUAAGCACCACAAUUAGCAACAUUCCCAAUGGAAGGCUUUAGGUGAAAUAUAACCCAAGAUAACUCCAACAAAGAGAUUGAUUGGUCGAAAAGAUAUCUUGAACGAAGAGAAAAUGAUGGAUUUAAUUAACUCAUUCCUGACAACUUGUGAACCACGAAGGGAAAUUGUCAAGAGUGACAUAACACCACCACAAAAGAUAUUGUAGAAACAAUUGCACUUUGGAAUGCAAGAUGAAGAAUACUUGAGCUCCUCAAAACAAAACAUGUGUUGAGCACCAUGUUUACUUUCGAGUAUAGCUUGGAGGAUCUUAACUUCAAGAGAAAUCUUGAAGAACAAUUGAAGAAUGAAAAGAAUCCUUGACGAACCAUCAUGUAGAGCCUCCAUGAAGAACUCCGGUAAUAAAAGGAUGAUAGAAAGAAAGAGAAGUUGGAAACACAAGGUGAAGCCUUGCGAUGAUUUAGAUGGAGCUUCGCGACGAGAUAGUUGAGAGAGCUUGGAACUCCGAAAAGAAAGAUGAAGCCUCUCGAACCGAGAAUGUGAUAUGAUGACCAACUCCGGAAAGAAAGAUGAAUCACUUGAACCAAGAAUUACUUCAUCAUGAACAAACUCCGGAAGAAAAGAAUUGAAUCACCUCGAGGAAAAUAAGAAUAAGAUUUAUUGUAUGCUUACCCUUCAUCAGAUUUAAUUGAUGACAAGCAACGGAUUUGGCAUACUACUUAUUCUUGUAGAAAGGAUGGAUUAAGAGAGAUAUAGCGCAAACUUGGGAAGGUCUUUAACGAGCCACCGGUAGGAUUGAAAAGAACGAAAGAACGAAUGAAUUGACACGAUAACGAAGGAAGAGAAAUCUGGAACGAACCACCGUAAGAAUUGAAAAUGAACAUAGCAAAGGCACAAUUCACCGGGAAGAAUUUGAAAAUGAAUGAUGAUACUUGAGGGGAUUCAGAUAAAUGAGAACGAAGAGAACAUGAACUGAUUAGAGGAUAUUUGAAUGAUGCACUGGUAAGAUUUGGAGAACGAGAGCUGAAAGCUUGAAUGAAUAAUUCUGAGAUGAUGGGCUACGGAGAAUCAUUCUGAAAAGACUCUUGAAUUGCUCCGGAUGGGUGAAAAGAAUUCUCACAAUCGAAAACAAAUAUGAGAGGAUGGCAAUAACGCUAGAACCAUGAAUCUUGAAGAGAAUGGAGCAAGAUUUAAGAGAAACUCUUCUUCGGUCUUCACAUGUUGAGAAUGAUGAUGAGAACCACCAUGAAUUGUUGAGAUACUCCGGAACAAAGAAGAAUAGAAAUGAUGAACCAACGAUGAAAAUAUUCUGAAAGCGAUCUUGGAUAAGGAAUAUGACUGAUGAAAAUUCAUUCUUACGUCAAACUCUGCAAUGAAUUUGAGAAUAACUCCGAAAAGAAAUUAGAAGAGUCAGGUAAGAUCCUGGGAAAAGACCUGUGGGUUAAGGCCCACUCAAAAGAACCAUCGUUGGAAAUGAUUUAAAGAGAUAUUACACCGGUUGAAUUAAAUGACUUGAAUGAGGUAAUAAUCUCGAAAUAUCUUGAACGGAUUGAGAAUGGAAACACAAGUCUUCUGAGAUAUCUUCAACACUCCGGAACAAAAGAAUAGCAAGAGGUGAGUGAUUGAUAGGUGCACCGGUAUGAGAAAGCAUUUGACACGAGGAAAGGAAUAUGAUCAACACUAAAAGCUUGAAUUGGAUCCACCGGAGAAGAAACAACAAUGGAGGAUGAUGAACUUGAAGCUCGUGAGCAUCUUCACGAGGGAUCACCGGAUCAAAACAAUGAUUGAAAAGAGUGAAGAGACUUCACAUGAAUAAAUGGAUACUUGAUUAUAAUAUAUGAGUCCUUGAAGAAAAGGGGUGGGAGGGUGGGGAAAAACAAAGACAACAUGGGAUGAACGAAACAAACACCGUUGAGAAAACUUAGAAUUGAUCUUGCGGAUGUUGAAAAAUGAUGGGAUCCACUUGAAGAGAAGCACGCCGAUUGGGAAAGAAUUAACAUGACGACCUCGAUGAUCAAGAAGGAUUAGUAUUCACAUAGCAAUAUGAGAACACCGUUUAUGAAAGGUAUGGAUUCAACCUUUGACUUCGAAGCAACUCGAAUACCAGAAAUAAAACAAAACAAAGGAUUUGGCUUGCAGAAUAAGCCAGAACAAACAUAUGAUAGAUCCCAUAUCAUAUCAUGUGUCUGUUGGAAAGAUGUCCUAUGAGCUACUUGAAUUCCCACCUAUAAAACUCCCGAAACUUUCUGGUUAUGCAAUCUGGUGUUAGGGAUACAGGGGAAGCAAUAUAUCUCACCCAAACUAACAAUACCUACAUCCAAGCUGUAUCCAUCUGUCAACACAUAACCAAGAAACCUUCGGAAAUCGUGUACCUCAACCUUCGAAAAGCAUCCGUUAUACGAGUUAUGGCAAUACUCCCGAGCUCGCCCCAGUACUGGGUUAUCAGGGUUAUCUCACCAACAACUGCAUAAAAGAGAUUUUCGAUGUCGGCAAAACUCAGGUAUUCCAGAACUGCAACGAUAAAAUUGUGACGACAACACCUCAGAGCUCGACUCCCCGGGUCAAAGCCACAUAAAUAGACAGGAGGCACCAAGAACAAUGUUCUCGUCACAAAACCAUCGGAACGAUUCCAAGAUACCCGCGUGAUCCUAAAAAAAAUUAGUGAAAUUUGAGGAGAGGAAAGACAAAACAUCUACGUCAGGAGACCUCACCAGAGCGACGAAGGGACUGAGGAGUAAAAAGAAUCCUACUCUCCGAUAUAUAUAAUCCUAAGACUCAAAAUAGUUUUCUUCUAGACUCAACAACGGCCAACAAACAAGGGGGCUCCUAGGGUCGGUCGAGGCUCUGAUACCAACUUGUCACGCCCAAUAUGCGACCCUAUCCAAAAGGAACUCGAAGGUCCCACCAAGGAUAGACCUGCAUAUUGAAACGCUUUUGCAAGGUGGAUAUCAUUACAUCAACAUUACAUAAUAGAUGGGGAUACAUACAUAAGGCAUACAAUGCCACACGAAUACAACAAUAUAUCAUACACAAUAUCAACAUCCGUCUACGGAUAAAACACAAACAGAAGCUCAAACGACAUCCACCCUGCUAGCCCAGGCUGCCGACCUGGAACCUAUCCCUGAUCGAAGAAGGAGAAGAAGAACUCAACGCAAGCAAGCAUCGCUCUCGCGUCAUGAUCAUCGCAUAACCUGUACCUGCAACUGUUGUUGUAGUAAUCUGUGAGCCACGAGGACUCAGCAAUCCCAUUACCAUGGGUAUCAAGACUAGCAAAGCUUAAUGGGAAAGAAAGGGGUAAAGUGGUGAGGCUGCAGCAGCGACUAAGCAUAUAUGGUGGCUAACAUACGCAAAUAAGAGCGAGAAGAGAACAAGCGGAACGGUCGUGAAGCUAGCAAUGAUCAAGAAGUGAUCCUGAACUCCUACUUACGUCAAUCAUAACCCGGAAACCGUGUUCACUUCCCGGACUCCGCCGAGAAGAGACCAUCACGGCUACACACGCGGUUGAUGCGUUUUAAUUCGGAUCUGGAGUCAAGUUAUCUACAACCGGACAUUAACAAAUUCCCAUCUGCCUAUAACCGUAGGCACGGCUUUCGAAAGAUUAUACCCUGCAGGGGUGUCCCAACUUAGCCCAUGACAAGCUCUCGCGAUCAACGAAGGAAUAGACCUUCUCCCAGGAAGACCCGAUCAGACUCGGAAUCCCGGUUUACAAGACAUUUCGACAAUGGUAAAACAAGACCAGCAAAGCCUCCCGCUAUGCCGACAAAUCCCGAUAGGAGCUGCACAUAUCUCGUUCUCAGGGCACACCNNNNNNNNNNNNNNNNNNNNNNNNNNNNNNNNNNNNNNNNNNNNNNNNNNNNNNNNNNNNNNNNNNNNNNNNNNNNNNNNNNNNNNNNNNNNNNNNNNNNNNNNNNNNNNNNNNNNNNNNNNNNNNNNNNNNNNNNNNNNNNNNNNNNNNNNNNNNNNNNNNNNNNNNNNNNNNNNNNNNNNNNNNAAAAUAAAGAUGACCCUCGGGCUCCGGAAACCCAAGGGAAAAAGGGCUAGGUGAGGCAAAUGGUAAAACCAAUGUUGGGCCUUGUUGGAGGAGUUUUAUUCAAAGCGAACUGUCAAGGGGGUCCCAUAAAUCACCCGACCGCGUAAGGAACGCAAAAUUCGGGAACAUAACACCGGUAUGACGGAAACUAGGGCGGCAAGAGUGGAACAAAACACUAGGCAAAAGGCCGAGUCUUCCACCCUUUACCAAAUAUAUAGAUGCAUUAAUAAUAUAAAAGAUAUUGUGAUAUCCCAACCAAAAUCCUGUUCACCAUGGAGAAAUCUUCAACUUCACCUGCAACUAGCAACGCUAUAAGAGGGGCUGAGCAAAGCGGUAACAUAGCCAAACAACGGUUUGCAUAGGAAAGGUGUCAAAGGUUAGAGGUUCAUGGCAACAUGGGAUGGCUCGACAAACAGAUGAUAGGUAGCGCAGCAAAGCGAUAGAACGAAGCAACUAGCAUAGCAAUGAUAGUAGUGAGAUCCAGGGUAGCGGUCAUCUUGCCUGAAAUCCCGCAAGGAAGAAGAACGAGUCCAUGAAGUAGACAAACCAACAUAGUCGAACGAAUCCUCACGAACGCAAUGUUACCGGAACUAAGAAGCAACACCGGAAAGAAGCAAACAACAUGGUAAACACACCAGCAUAAUCAUGGCAUGAUGCACAAACAAGUAUGAUGCAUGUCCGGUUUAAUGAGGCAUGGCAUGGCAAAGUGCAACAAACGAUACUACAAGUUAAGUGGAGCUCAAUAUGCAACGAGUUGCAUAUUAACAAAACACCACAUGGACAUAUUUAGUUUAAUCUCGGUUAUGCACCCAACAAUAUUAAAUGUUGAUUAACAUGGCAAGAGGUGAAGCAUAUGAAAAACUACCUAUCUAGACAAGUUUAAAUGAGGCCGGAACAACAAAACAACAAUUCCGAAAAUCCCCAUGUGCAUAAAAUGAAUUUGGUACUGUUCUGUCCUAAACCACAUUUUAAGGUUGUUAAACAGGAAAAUAAAGUGGAUCAUGUUAAUCUAGGCAUUUUUCCACCCUAUUUACAUAUAAAGUUUAAUAAAUUCGGAGCUACGGUUAUUUAGUUAUGAAUUAAAGCAUUUUAGCAUGGCAUAUUAGCAAAUGUAAAUAAACAACAGUUUAACCAUUUUAAACAUGGGUGAAAAUGGCAUAUUAUUAAUCUACACAAUUUUCUGAGCAUCUUACAUAUAAAGUUUGUUUAAAUCUGAUGCACGGUUAAUUAGUUAUUACAUGCAUGAGGUCUAGGGGGUUUUCUGUAAAACUAAUAAUGCACUGGAUAAUGUCUAAAAUCGCAGGCAGGGAAAAAAAUACAUCGGGCCGAAACUGCAGCCUGGCCCAACAGGAGAAAAAACAAAAGGAGGGGCGCUGGGGGUGGCCUCACCAUGGGCCAAGCCCGAUUGGAAACAGAGGGAGGCCGACUGGGCUUGGGGAGGAGGCUGGCGCGCUGGGCUGCGAAGGGGAGGGGCCGAGGCCCAUGUGGGGAGGUCGGGCCACGAGGCCGGCGGCGUGCUGGAGGGAGCUGGGCUGGGACGGCUUGAGGCCCAUGCACACACGCGUGCACGAGCGGGCGAGGCGACGAGCUCCUCGUUCCUGAACAGGGACGAGGCAGGGUGGCGGCGCAGAUGGCGCCGGCGGCGAGCAGGCUCGAGGGCGGCGGCGGGGCGGAUCCGGCAAGGGCGGGGCCGGCAGAGGCCGGAUCUGGCAGCGGCGGGUCCAUUCCCGGCGACGAACGGCGGCGGGGACGAGUCUUCCGGGCGGAGGCGGACCCGAGCUCGGGCGCGGCCAUGGCAGAGCUCCUGCGGAAGAGAAGGGGUCAGCGGGGGCGCAGGAGAAGUGGAGGAGGAGAAGGGAGAGAUGAGGAGGCAGGGCUCCGGCCUGGCGAAGCUUCGGCGGCGGCGGCGCGCUGCUCCGGCAGGACGAGGAGGUGCUGGGGCGACGAGGGCUCGGGGUCGAGGGGCUCCUCCCCUCGAUCCAGAUCGGGAGCGGGAGGCGUGGGGCGCUCGGGCCCUCGCGGGCUUCAGCGGCGCGGCCUCGGGCCGGGCGGGCCCUGCGGCGCUGAGGGGGAGCGCGGGGAACAGGUCGGGCGGCGGCUGACCGCUCAGGACGUGCCAUGUGGCGGAGGUGGGCUGGAGGGCGCCGGAUUUGGAGGGGGAAGGCGGCGGCGCGGCCCCCGAGGUGGGAGGAGGUGGUGGCUGCGGGGUUAGGGGUGCGGAAAACGAGGAGGAGGGGGGUAGGCUGCCAAAAUUGGAAGGGGAAGGAGUAUAUAAAGGGUAGGGGCUAGGGUUUGAGGGUUUGGGGGCGUUUCGGGGCCUCAGAUCGACAUCGGACGGCUCCGGGCAGAGGGGGGGACUAGGUGGGCUAGUGGGCUGUGUGAGAGAGAGGCUUGGGCCGAGAGGAGAGAAGAGAAGUGUAGCCCGGUGGCAGUUUCGGAGACUGAAACGUCCGACGAUUAAACCGACUAUAUCGCGGUUAUAAAUAUAACGGUUGGGCAGUCAAACGGACUCCAAAUGCGACGAAACUUGACAGGCGGCCUGUCUACACUAUAAUAAGACCGCACGACAAGUUGCAACCCAUUCCGAGAACAUUUUUAUGCCGCUUAUAAAAAUAAUAUUUCGGAGGUGCCGCGGGCGCGUGCGAGUGUGUCUGGACUCCGAACGGACAACGGAGAGAACCGGCGGGACCCGAACGGAUGCAAGUUUUAUGAAAACGAUGUCGAUGCAAUGCGCAUGAUGCUAUGAGAUGAGAUGCAUAACAAGAACAAAAUGCAAAACAACAGACAAACAACCAACCACAGAGGAAAUAACAUAUAGCAUCUCCGGAAAAGGCAAGAGUUGGAGUUACGAAUAUGGAAAGUUGUAUCCGGGGCGUUACAGUUACUCUAUUUAUUUGAAUAAUACCUUCAAUGGUCUUGAACCUAAAAGAAUGGUUUAUUAAAUCUCGGUCGUAGUGAUACACAUUUUCAUGCCAAAAGAUAUAAGAUAGUAAUGAUAGUACCACUUACUUGUGGCACUGCCAUGUAAGUCAUAUUGGUAUAAAACGCAUGAAGAAGCUCCAUGUUGAUGGAUCUUUGGACUCACUCGUUUUUGAAAAGUUUGAGACAUGCGAGCCAUGUCUAUUGGUGUGUACGCAUGAAGGAACUCCAUACAGAUGGAUCGUUUGGACUCACUUGAUUUUGAAUCACUUGAGAUAUGCAAAUCAUACCACAUAGGCAAGAUGACUGAAAAACCUCGGUUUCAGUAAGAUGGAACAAGAUAGCAAUUUAUUGGAAGUAACACACUUUGAUGUGUGCAGUUCAAUAAGUGCUGAGGCAUGCAGUGAAUAUCGUUAUGUUUUACUUCACAGAUGAUUUAAGUAGAUACUGUAUAUUUACUUGAUGAAACACAAGUCUGAACUAUUGAAGGGUUCAAGUAAUUUCAGAGUGAAGUUGAAGGUCAUUGUGACAAGAGGAUAAAAUGUCUAUGAUAUGAUCAUAGAGAUGAGUAUCUGAGUUACGAGCUUUGGCACACAAUUAAGACAUUGUGGAAAUUGUUUCACAAUUAAUACCGCCUGGAACACCAUAGUGUGAUGGUGUGUCCGAACAUCAUAGUUGCACCCUAUUGGAUAUGGUGCGUACCAUGAUAUCUCUUAUCGAAUUACCACUAUCGUUCAUUGGUUAGGCAUUAGAGACAACCGCACUCACUUUAAAUAGGGCACCACGUAAUUCCGUUGAGACGACAUCGUUUGAACUGUGGUUUGGAGAAACCUAAGUUGUCGUUUCUUAAAGGUUUGGGGCUGCGGCGCUUAUGUGGAAAAGUUUCAGGUUGAUAAGCUCGAACCCAAAGCGGAUAAAAUGCAUCUUCAUAGGACACCCAAAACAGUUGGGUAUACCUCCUAAUUCAGAUCCGAAAGCAAUAGGGAUUGUUUCUUGAAUCGGGUCCUUUCUCGAGGAAAGGUUUGUCUCGAGAAUUGAGUGGGAGGAUAGUGGAGACUUGAUGAGGUUAUUGAACCAUCACUUCAACCAGUGUGUAGCAGGGCACAGGAAGUUGUUCCCGUGGCACCUACACCAAUUGAAGUGGAAGCUUAUGAUAUUGAUCAUGAAGCUUCGGAUCAAGUCACUACCGAACCUCGUAGGACGACAAGGACGCGUACUGCUUCGGAGUGGUACGGUGAUCCUGUCUUAAAGGUCAUGUUGCUAGACAACAAUGAACCUACGAGCAAUGGAGAAGCGAUGGUGGGCCCAAAUUCCGACAAAUGGUUAGGAGCCAUGAAAUCCGAGAUAGGAUCCAUGUAUCAGAACAAAGCAUGGACUUUGGUGGACUUGCCCAAUGAUCGGCAAGCCAUUGAGAUAAAUGGAUCUUUAAGAAGAAGACAGACGUGGACGGUAAUGUCACCGUCUAUGAAGCUCGACUUGUGGCGAAGAGUUUUUCACAAGUUCAAGGAGUUUGACUACGAUGAGAUUUUCUCAUCCGUAGCGAUGCUUGAGUCCGUCGGAAUCAUGUUAGCAUUAGCUGCAUUUAUGAAAUCUGGCAGAUCAAAAGUAGUUUCCUUACCAGUUUUCGUGAGGAAAGUUUGUAUGCAAUACAAUCAGAAAGUUUUUGUCGAUCCUAAGGAUGCUAAAAGGUAUGCUAGCUCCAGCGAUCAUUCUAAGGACUGGAGUAAGCAUCUCGGAGUUGGAAUGAGCGCUUUGAUGAGAUGAUCAAAGAUUUUGAGUUUAUACAAAGUUUAUGAGAAACUUGUAUUUCCAAAGAAGUGAGUGGGAGCACUAUAGGAUUUCUGAUGAGUAUAUGUUGUUGACAUAUUGUUGAUCAGAAAUGAUGUAGAAUUUCUGGAAAGCAUAUAGGGUUAUUUGAAAGAUGUUUUUCAAUAGAAAACCUGGAUUAAGCUACUUGAACAUUGAGCAUCGAGAUCUAUAAGGAUAGAUCAAAAUGCUUAAUAAUACUUUCAAAUGAGCACCUACCUUGACAUGAUCUUGAAAGUGUUCAAGAUGGAUCAGUCAAAGAAGGAGUUCUUGCCUGAGUUGUAAGGUACGAAGUUAAAGCUCGACCACAGCAGAAAAGAGAGAAAGGACGAAGGUCGUCCCCUAUGCUUUAAACAUAGGCUCUAUGGUAUGCUAUGCUAAGUACCGCACCUGAUGUGUGCCUUGCCACAUGUCUGGCAAGAGGGUACAAAGGUGAUUAAGGAGUGGAUCACUGGAUAGCGGUCAAAAUUAUCCUUAGAGGAAUAAGGAUUUGUUUCUCGAUUAUGGAGGUGAUAAAGAGUUCGGCGUAAAGGGUUACGACGAUGCAAGCUUUAACACCUAUCCGAAUGACUCUGAGUAGCAAACCGGAUACGUAUAGUGGAGCAACCAUUUGGAAUAGCUCCAAGUGGAGCGUGGAAGCAGCAUUUACAAUAUGACAUAGAGAAUUGCGAUGCACAUACGGAUCUGAAUGUUGCAGACCCGUUGACUAAAACUUCUCUUACAAGCAAAACAUGAUCAAACCCUAGAACUCAUUGAGUCUUAAUCACAUGAUGAUGUGAACUAGUUUAAUGACACUAGUAACUCUUUGGAUGUUGGUCACAUGGCGAUGUGACCUGUGAGUGUUAAUCACAUGGCGAUGUGAACUAGAUUAUUGACUCUAGUGCAAGUGGGAGACUGUUGGAAAUAUGCCCUAGAGGCAAUAAUAAAUUAGUUAUUACUAUAUUUCCUUGUUCACGAUAAUCGUUUAUUAUCCAUGCUAUAAUUGUAUUGAUAGGAAACUCAGAUACAUGUGUGGGUACAUAGACAACACCAUGUCCCUAGUAAGCCUCUAGUUGACUAGCUCGUUGAUCAAUAGAUGGUUACGGUUUCCUAACCAUGGACAUCGGAUGUCGUUGAUAACGGGAUCACAUCAUUAGCAGAAUGAUGUGAUGGACAAGACCCAAUCCUAAGCCUAGCACAAAGAUCGUAGUUCAUAUGCUAAAGCUUUUCUAAUGUCAAGUAUCAUUUCCUUAGACCAUGAGAUUGUGCAACUCCCGGAUACCGUAGGAAUGCUUUGGGUGUACCAAACGUCACAACGUAACUGAGUGGCUAUAAAGGUGCACUACAGGUAUCUCCGAAAGUGUCUGUUGGGCUGGCACGAAUCGAGACUGGGAUUUGUCACUCCAUGUAAACGGAGAGGUAUCUCCGGGCCCACUCGGUAGGACAUCAUCAUAAGGUGCACAAUGUGACCAAGGGGUUGAUCACGGGAUGAUGUGUUACGGAACGGGUAAAGAGACUUGCCGGUAACGAGAUUUAACAAGGUAUCGGUAUACCGACGAUCGAAUCUCGGGCAAGUAUAAUACCGCUAGACAAAGGGAAUUGUAUACGGGAUUGAUUGAGUCCUUGACAUCGUGGUUCAUCCGAUGAGAUCAUCGUGGAACAUGUGGGAGCCAACAUGGGUACCCAGAUCCCGCUGUUGGUUAUUGACCGGAGAACGUCUCGGUCAUGUCUGCAUGGUUCCCGAACCCGUAGGGUCUACACACUUAAGGUUCGAUGACGCUAGGGUUAUAAAGGAAGUUUGUAUGUGGUUACCGAAUGUUUUUCGGAGUCCCGGAUGAGAUCUCGGACGUCACGAGGAGUUCCGGAAUGGUCCGGAGGUAAAGAUUUAUAUAUGGGAAAUCCCGUUUUGGUCACCGGAAAAGUUUCGGGUUUUAUCGGUAACGUACCGGGACCACCGGGAGGGUCCCGGGGGUCCACCAAGUGGGGCCACCGGCCCCGGAGGGCUGCAUGGGCCAAGUGUGGGAGGGAACCAGCCCCAGGUGGGCUGGUGCGCCCUCCCACAAGGGCCCAAGGCGCCUAGGGUUUGGGGAGGGGGUGCUUCCACCUAACUUGGGGGGCAAGUUUCCCCCCUCUCCCCCCUUGGCCGCCACCCUUAGAUGGGAUUGGGGCUGCCGCACCCCUUGGGGUGGAAACCCUAGAGGGGGCGCACUGAAGGAAAUAUGCCCUAGAGGCAAUAAUAAAGUUAUUAUUUAUUUCCUUAUAAUCAUGAUAAAUGUUUAUUAUUCAUGCUAGAAUUGUAUUUACCGGCAACAUAAUACAUGUGUGAAUACAUAGACAAACAAAGUGUCACUAGUAUGCCUCUACUUGACUAGCUCGUUAAUCAAAGAUGGUUAUGUUUCCUAACCAUGAACAAUGAGUUGUUAUUUGAUUAACGAGGUCACAUCAUUAGUAGAAUGAUCUGAUUGACACGACCCAUUCCAUUAGCUUAGCACCCGAUCGUUUAGUAUGUUGCUCUUGCUUUCUUCAUGACUUAUACAUGUUCCUAUGACUAUGAGAUUAUGCAACUCCCGUUUACCGGAGGAACACUUUGGGUACUACCAAACGUCACAACGUAACUGGGUGAUUAUAAAGGAGUACUACAGGUGUCUCCAAUGGUCGAUGUUGGGUUGGCGUAUUUCGAGAUUAGGAUUUGUCACUCCGAUUGUCGGAGAGGUGUCUCUGGGCCCUCUUGGUAAUACACAUCACAUAAGCCUUGCAAGCAUUACAACUAAUAUGUUAGUUGUGAGAUGAUGUAUUACGGAACGAGUAAAGAGACUUGCCGGUAACGAGAUUGAACUAGGUAUUGGAUACCAACGAUCGAAUCUCGGGCAAGUAACAUACCGAUGACAAAGGGAACAACGUAUGUUGUUAUGCGGUCUGACCGAUAAAGAUCUUCGUAGAAUAUGUAGGAGCCAAUAUGGGCAUCCAGGUCCCGCUAUUGGUUAUUGACCAGAGACGUGUCUCGGUCAUGUCUACAUUGUUCUCGAACCCGUAGGGUCCGCACGCUUAAGGUUACGAUGACAGUUAUAUUAUGAGUUUAUGCAUUUUGAUGUACCGAAGGUUGUUCGGAGUCCCGGAUGUGAUCACGGACAUGACGAGGAGUCUCGAAAUGGUCGAGACAUAAAGAUUGAUAUAUUGGAAGCCUAUGUUUGGACAUCAGAAGUGUUCCGGGUGAAAUCGGGAUUUUACCGGGUUACCGGGAGGUUACCGGAACCCCCCGGGAGCCAUAUGGGCCUUCAUGGGCCUUAGUGGAAAGGAGAAAGGGGCAGCCCAAGGGGGCUGCGCGCCUCCCCCCUUCCCCUAGUCCUAUUAGGACUAGGAGAGGUGGCCGGCCACCCCUCUCCCUCUAUCCCCCUUGGGAAUCCUAGUUGGAAUAGGAUUGGGGGGGGGGGGAGUCCUACUCCCGGUAGGAGUAGGACUCCUCCUGCGCCUCCCUCCUUGGCCGGCGCCUCCUCCCCCCCUUGGCUCCUUUAUAUACUGAGGUAGAGGCACCCCAAAACAGAUAAGUUGACACAAGUUGAUCCACGUGAUCUGUUCCUUAGCCGUGUGCGGUGCCCCCUGCCACCAUAUUCCUCGAUAAUACUGUAGCGGAGUUUAGGCGAAGCCCUGCUGCUGUAGUUCAUCAAGAUCAUCACCACGCCGUCGUGCUGACGGAACUCUUCCCCGACACUUUGCUGGAUCGGAGUCCGGGGAUCAUCAUCGAGCUGAACGUGUGCUCGAACUCGGAGGUGUCGUAGUUUCGGUGCUUGAUCGGUUGGAUCGUGAAGACGUACGACUACUUCCUCUACGUCGUGUCAUCGCUUCCGCAGUCGGUCUGCGUUGGGUACGUAGACAAUACUCUCCCCCUCGUUGCUAUGCAUCACAUGAUCUUGCGUGUGCGUAGGAAAUUUUUUGAAAUUACUACAUAACCCAACAGUGGCAUCCGAGCCUAGGUUAUUUAUGUUGAUGUUAUAUGCACGAGUAGAACACAAGUGAGUUGUGGACGAUACAAGUCAUACUGCCUACCAGCAUGUCAUACUUUGGUUCGGCGGUAUUGUUGGACGAGACGACCCGGACCAACCUUACGCGUACGCUUACGCGAGACCGGUUCCCUCGACGUGCUUUGCACAGAGAUGGCUUGCGGGCGACUGCCUCUCCAACUUUAGUUGAACCAAGUAUGGCUACGCCCGGUCCUUGCGAAGGUUAAAACGGAGUCUAUUUGACAAACUAUCAUUGUGGUUUUGAUGCGUAGGUGAGAUUGGUUCUUACUUAAGCCCGUAGCAGCCACGUAAAACAUGCAACAACAAAGUAGAGGACGUCUAACUUGUUUUUGCAGGGCAUGUUGUGAUGUGAUAUGGUCAAGGCAUGAUGCUGAAUUUUAUUGUAUGAGAUGAUCAUGUUUUGUAACCGAGUUAUCGGCAACUGGCAGGAGCCAUAUGGUUGUCGCUUUAUUGUAUGCAAUGCAAUCGCGAUGUAAUGCUUUACUUUAUUACUAAACGUUGGUGAUAGUCGUGGAAGCAUAAGAUUGGCGAGACGACAACGAUGCUACGAUGGAGAUCAGGGUGUCGCGCCGGUGACGAUGGUGAUCAUGACGGUGCUUCGGAGAUGGAGAUCGCAGGCACAAGAUGAUGAUGGCCAUAUCAUAUCACUUAUAUUGAUUGCAUGUGAUGUUUAUCUUUUUAUGCAUCUUAUCUUUCUUUGAUUGACGGUAGCAUUAUAAGAUGAUCUCUCACUAAAUUAUCAAGAAGUGUUCUCCCUGAGUAUGCACCGUUGCCAAAGUUCGUCGUGCCCAGACACCACGUGAUGAUCGGGUGUGAUAAGCUCUACGUCCAUCUACAACGGGUGCAAGCCAGUUUUGCACACGCAGAAUACUCAGGUUAAACUUGACGAGCCUAGCAUAUGCAGAUAUGGCCUCGGAACACGGAGACCGAAAGGUCGAGCGUGAAUCAUAUAGUAGAUAUGAUCAACAUAACGAUGUUCACCAUUGAAAACUACUCCAUCUCACGUGAUGAUCGGUCAUGGUUUAGUUGAUUUGGAUCACGUGAUCACUUAGAGGAUUAGAGGGAUGUCUAUCUAAGUGGGAGUUCUUAAGUAAUAUGAUUAAUUGAACUUAAAUUUAUCAUGAACUUAGUCCUGGUAGUAUUUUGCAAAUUAUAGAUCAAUAGCUCGCGUUGUUGCUUCCCUGUGUUUAUUUUGAUAUGUUCCUAGAGAAAAUUGUGUUGAAAGAUGUUAGUAGCAAUGAUGCGGAUUGGAUCCGUGAUCUGAGGAUUAUCCUCAUUGCUGCACAGAAGAAUUAUGUCCUUGAUGCACCGCUAGGUAACAGACCUAUUGCAGGAGCAGAUGCAAACGUUAUGAACGUUUAGCUAGCUCAAUAUGAUGACUACUUGAUAGUUUAAGUGCACCAUGCUUAACGGCUUAGAAUCGGGACUUCAAAGACGUUUUGAACGUCAUGGACCAUAUGAGAUGUUCCAGGAGUUGAAGUUAAUAUUUCAAGCAAAUACCCGAGUUGUGAGAUAUGAAGUCUCCAACAAAUUCUAUAGCUAAAAGAUGGAGGAGAAUCGCUCAACUAGUGAGCAUGUGCUCAGAUUGUCUGGGUACUACAAUCGCUUGAAUCAAGUGGGAGUUAAUCUUCCAGAUAAGAUAGUGAUUGACAGAAUUCUCUAGUCACCAUCACCAAGUUAGUAGAACUUCGUGAUGAACUAUAAUAUGCAAGGGAUAACGGAAACAACUCCCAAGCUCUUCGUGAUGAUGAAAUCAAUGAAGGUAGAAAUCAAGAAAAACAUCAAGUGUUGAUGGUUGAUAAGACCACUAGUUUCAAGAAAAGGGCAAAGGGAAGAAGGGGAACUUCAAGAAGAACGACAAGCAAGUUGCUGCUCAAGUGAAGAAGCCCAAGUCUGGUCCUAAGCCUGAGACUAAGUGCUUCUACUGCAAAGGGACUGGUCACCGGAAACGGAACCACCCCAAGUGAUUGGCGGAUAAGAAGGAUGGCAAAGUGAACAUAAGUAUAUUUGAUAUACAUGUUAUUGAUGUGUACUUUACUAGUGUUUAUAGCAAACCCUAAGUAUUUGAUACUAGUUCAGUUGCUAAGACUAGUAACUCGAAACGGGAGUUGCAGAAUAAACAGAGACUAGUUAAGGGUGAAGUGACGAUGUGUGUUGGAAGUGGUUCCAAGAUUGAUAUGAUCAUCAUCGCACACUCCCUAUAAUUUCGGGAUUAGUGUUGAAACUAAAUAAGUGUUAUUUGGUGUUUGCGUUGAGCAUGAAUAUGAUUUGAUCAUGUUUAUUGUAAUACGGUUAUUCAUUUAAGUAAAAGAAUAAAUUGUUGUUCUGUUUACAUGAAUAAAACUUUAUAUGGUUACACACCCAAUGAAAAUAGUUCAUUGGAUCUCGAUCUUAGUGAUACACAUAUUCAUAAUAUUGAAACCAAAAGAUGUAAAGUUAAUAAUGAUAGUGCAACUUAUUUAUGGCACUGCCGUUUAGGUCAUAUUGGUGUAAAGCGCAUGAAGAAACUCCAUGCUGAUGGGAUUUUGGAAUCACUUGAUUAUGAAUCACUUGAUGCUUGCGAACCAUGCCUUAUGGGCAAGAUUACUAAAACGCCGUUCUCCGGAACAAUGAAGCAAGCAACAGAUUUGUUGGAAAUCAUACAUACCGAUGUAUGUGGUCCGAUGAAUAUUAAGGCUUACAGCAGGUAUCAUUAUUUUCUGACCUUCACAAGAUGAUUUGAGCAGAUAUGGGGAUAUCUACUUGAUGAAACAUAAGUCUAAAAUAAUUGAAAGGUUCAAAGAAUUUCAGAGUGAAGUGGAAAAAUCAUCGUAACAAGAAAAAUAAAGUUUCUGCGAUCUGAUCACGGAGACGAAUAUUUGAGUCACGAGUUUGGUCUUCAAUUAAAACAAUGUGGAAUAGUUUCAUAGCUCACGCCACCUGGAACACCACAAUGUUAUGGUGUGUCCGAACGUCGUAACCGCGCUUUAUUGGAUAUGGUGCGAUCUAUGAUGUCUCUUAUUGAUUUACCAUUGUCGUUUUGGGGUUAUGCAUUAGAGACAGCUGCAUUCACGUUAAAAGGGCACCAUCUAAAUCCGUUGAGAUGACACUAUAUGAACUGUGGUUUAGCAAGAAACCCAAGUUGUCGUUUCUUAAAGUUUGGGGCUGCGAUGCUUAUGUGGAAAAGUUUCAUCCUGAUAAGCUCGAACCCAAAUCGGAGAAGUGCGUCUUCAUAGAAUACCCAAAGGAAAUUGUUGGGUACACCUUCUAUCACAGAUCCGGAGGCAAGAUAUUCGUUGCUAAAAAUGGAUCCUUUCUGGAGAAGGAGUUUCUCUCGAAAGAAGUGAGUGGGAGGAAAGUAGAACUUGAUGAGGUAACUGUACCUGCUCCCUUACUGGAAAGUAGUUCAUCACAGAAAACUGUUUCAGUGACACCUACACCAGUUAGUGAGGAAGCCAAUGAUAAUGAUCAUGAAACUUCAGAUCAAGAUACUACUAAACCUCGUAGAUCAACCAGAGUAAGAUCCACACGAGAGUGGUACGGUAAUCCUGUUCUGGAAGUCAUGCUACUAGAUCAUGAUGAACCUACGAACUAUGAAGAAGCGAUGGUGAGCCCAGAUUCCGCAAAGUGGCUUGAAGCCAUGAAAUCUGAAAUGGGAUCCAUGUAUGAGAACAAAGUAUGGACUUUGGUUGACUUGCCCGAUGAUCGGCAAGCAAUUGAGAAUAAAUGGAUUUUUAAGAAGAAGACUGACGCUGAUGGUAAUGUUACUGUCUACAAAGCUCGACUUGUCGCAAAAGGUUUUCGGCAAGUUCAAGGGAUUGACUACGAUGAGACCUUCUCACCCGUAGCGAUGCUUAAGUCUGUCCGAAUCAUGUUAGCAAUUGCCGUAUUUUAUGAAAUCCGGCAAAUGGAUAGACAAAACUGCAUUCCUUAAUGGAUUUAUUAAAGAAGAGUUGUAUAUGAUACAACCAGAAGGUUUUGACAAUCCUAAAGGUGCUAACAAAAUAUGCAAGCUCCAGCGAUCCAUCUAUGGACUGGUGCAAGCAUCUCGGAGUUGGAAUAUACGCUUUGAUAAGUUGAUCAAAGCAUAUAAGUUUUAUAUAGACUUGCGGUGAAGCCUGUAUUUACAAGAAAGUGAGUGGGAGCACUACAACAUUUCUGAUAAGUAUAUGUGAAUGACAUAUUGUUGAUCGGAAAUAAUGUAGAAUUAUUCUGUAAAGCAUAAAAGGAGUGUUUGAAAGGAGUUUUUCAUAGAAAGACUUCGGUCAAGCUGCUUACAUAUUGAGCUUCAAGAUCUAUAGGGAUAGAUCAAGACGCUUGAUAAAUUUUUCAAUGAGUACAUACCUUGACAAGAUUUUGAAGUAGUUCAAAAUGGAGCAGUCAAAGAAAGAGUUCUUGCCUGUAUUACAAUGUGUGAAGUUGAGUAAGACUCAAAGCCCGACCACGGCAGAAAAUAGAAAGAGAAUAAAAGUCAUUCCCUAUGCCUCAGUCAUAGGUUCUAUAAAGUAUGCCAUGCUGUAUACCAGAUCUAUUAUAUGCCCUACCACUAAGUUUGGCAAGGGAGUACAAUAGUGAUCUAGGAGUAGAUCACUGGACAUUGGUCAAAAUUAUCCUUAGUGAAAUAAGGAAAUAUUUCUCGAUUAUGGAGGUGACAAAAGGUUCGUCGUAAAAAGGUUACGUCGAUGCAAGUUUUGACACAGAUCUGGAUGACUCUAAGUCUUGAUCUAGAUACAUAUUGAAAGUGGGAGCAAUAAGCUAGAGUAGCUCCGUGCAGAGCAUUGUUGACAUAGAAAUUCGCAAAAUACUUACGGAUCUGAAUGUGACAGACCCGUUGACUAAAUUAUCUCACAAGCAAAACAUGAUCACACCUUAGUACUCUUUGGGUGUUAAUCACAUAAAUGAUGUGAACUAGAUUAUUGACUCUAGUAAACCCUUUUGGGUGUUGAUCACAUAUCGAUGUGAACUAUGGGUGUUAAUCACAUGGUGAUAUGAACUAUUGCUGUUAAAUCACAUGGCGAUGUGAACUAGAUUAUUGACUCUAGUGCAAGUGGGAGACUGAAGGAAAUAUGCCCUAGAGGCAAUAAUAAAGUUAUUAUUUAUUUCCUUAUAAUCAUGAUAAAUGUUUAUUAUUCAUGCUAGAAUUGUAUUUACCGGAAACAUAAUACAUGUGUGAAUACAUAGACAAACAAAGUGUCACUAGUAUGCCUCUACUUGACUGGCUCGUUAAUCAAAGAUGGUUAUGUUUCCUAACCAUGAACAAUGAGUUGUUAUUUGAUUAACGAGGUCACAUCAUUAGUAGAAUGAUCUGAUUGACAUGACCCAUUCCAUUAGCUUAGCACCCGAUCAUUUAGUAUGUUGCUAUUGCUUUCUUCAUGACUUAUACAUGUUCCUAUGACUAUGAGAUUAUGCAACUCCCGUUUACCGGAGGAACACUUUGGGUACUACCAAACGUCACAACGUAACUGGGUGAUUAUAAAGGAGUACUACAGGUGUCUCCAAUGGUCGAUGUUGGGUUGGCGUAUUUCGAGAUUAGGAUUUGUCACUCCGAUUGUCGGAGAGGUGUCUCUGGGCCCUCUCGGUAAUACACAUCACAUAAGCCUUGCAAGCAUUACAACUAAUAUGUUAGUUGUGAGAUGAUGUAUUACGGAACGAGUAAAGAGACUUGCCGGUAACGAGAUUGAACUAGGUAUUGGAUACCGACGAUCGAAUCUCGGGCAAGUAACAUACCGAUGACAAAGGGAACAACGUAUGUUGUUAUGCGGUCUGACCGAUAAAGAUCUUCGUAGAAUAUGUAGGAGCCAAUAUGGGCAUCCAGGUCCCGCUAUUGGUUAUUGACCAGAGACGUGUCUCGGUCAUGUCUACAUUGUUCUCGAACCCGUAGGGUCCGCACGCUUAAGGUUACGAUGACAGUUAUAUUAUGAGUUUAUGCAUUUUGAUGUACCGAAGGUUGUUCGGAGUCCCGGAUGUGAUCACGGAGAUGACGAGGAGUCUCGAAAUGGUCGAGACAUAAAGAUUGAUAUAUUGGAAGCCUAUGUUUGGACAUCGGAAGUGUUCCGGGUGAAAUCGGGAUUUUACCGGGUUACCGGGAGGUUACCGGAACCCCCCGGGAGCCAUAUGGGCCUUCAUGGGCCUUAGUGGAAAGGAGAAAGGGGCAGCCCAAGGGGGCUGCGCGCCUCCCCCCUUCCCCUAGUCCUAUUAGGACUAGGAGAGGUGGCCGGCCACCCCUCUCCCUCUUUCCCCCUUGGGAAUCCUAGUUGAAAUAGGAUUGGGGGGGAGUCCUACUCCCGGUAGGAGUAGGACUCCUCCUGCACCUCCCUCCCUGGCCGGCGCCUCCUCCCCCCUUGGCUCCUUUAUAUACUGAGGUAGAGGCACCCCAAAACAGAUAAGUUGACACAAGUUGAUCCACGUGAUCUGUUCCUUAGCCGUGUGCGGUGCCCCCUGCCACCAUAUUCCUCGAUAAUACUGUAGCAGAGUUUAGGCGAAGCCCUGCUGCUGUAGUUCAUCAAGAUCGUCACCACGCCGUCGUGCUGACGGAACUCUUCCCCGACACUUUGCUGGAUCGGAGUCCGGGGAUCGUCAUCGAGCUGAACGUGUGCUCGAACUCGGAGGUGCCGUAGUUUCGGUGCUUGAUCGGUUGGAUCGUGAAGACGUACGACUACUUCCUCUACGUCGUGUCAUCGCUUCCGCAGUCGGUCUGCGUUGGGUACGUAGACAAUACUCUCCCCCUCGUUGCUAUGCAUCACAUGAUCUUGCGUGUGCGUAGGAAUUUUUUUAAAAUUACUACAUAACCCAACACGCACCCCCUUCCCUCUCCCCUAUAUAUACUUGAGGGUUUUGGGGCUGCCAACACAUGAGUUUUGACCUCUCCCUGGCGCAGCCCUACCUCUCUCCCUUCUCCUCUCCCGCGGUGCUUGGCGAAGCUCUGCAUGAUUGCCACGCUCCUCCACCACCACCACACCAUUGUGCUGCUGCUGGACGGAGUCUUCCUGAACCUCUCCCUCCCUCCUUGCUGGAUCAAGGCGUGGGAGACGUCAUCGGGCUGUACGUGUGUUGAACGCGGAGGUGCCGUCCAUUCGGCACUAGGAUCUCCGGUGAUUUGAAUCACGACGAGUACGACUCCUUCAACCCCGUUCUCAUGAAAGCUUCCGCUUAGCGAUCUACAAGGGUAUGUAGAUGCACUCUCCUUCCCCUCGUUGCUGGUUUCUCCAUAGAUAGAUCUUGGUGACACGUAGGAAAAUUUUAAAUUUCUGCUACGUUCCCCAACACAUAUAACACAUAUUUAAUUCCUCAAAUCGAUGACCUAGAACUACGCGAAUGACUUAUUCACCUAGACGGAGGUAGUAGCACUGCUCAUUGUUGUGUGUGCAGUUCUACACUCAUGAGUUAAUAAAGAACCCCCUUUGCCGAAAAAUAAAACCAGACUGCUCAAAUAUUUAUCUUCAUUAAUGCUUGAAGCAACUUACACGCUAUGUUGCACGUAUACUUGGAUACGUAUCGGAUACACGAUACGAGGAUACGCCCGAUACGCCAAUUUUCUGAAAACAUGGAUACAACGAUACGUUUAUAUAUAGAUAUUACAUAUAUUAAUUAUUAAAAAUAUUGAAAAUAAAAUAGAGCUUCUAGGUCAAAGCAUGCCUCAAUAGGAUUAUUAUUCCCUUUGUUUUCUUGCGCUUGGUCCACUUUCAUUAAUUAGCAAUGGGAGUUUUCCGGGUUUGUUAUUCCAAUCAGUGCAUCUACUCUCUCUUGGUCACCUCUCAAUUGAACAAGAAUAUUGACAAUAAUGGUUUGGCAUAAACUCACACCCAUGUUGGGUAUCUUCAAAAGGUAUGCCUUUACUAUUGAGGGGAUUUCACGUCAAACGAGGGGUUUCAGGUAUCCAAAAAGUAUCGCAGAAGUAUCCUAGGAGUAUCAAACAUUAUUUUCUUUUUUAAAAAUCAAAAAAUCAAGGGAUACUUACGGGAUACGUAUCGGGCUGUAUCGGGGCAGUAUCCGAGUAUUGGGGCAGUAUCGAGCUGGAUACGUGCGCUUUCUGAAGUAUCCGCGCAACAUAGCUUACACACGAAAUACGAGCUUAAAACAGGGACUAAACACUCAUAUAGUACCUCAAACAGUUUAUACUAAAGACCCUCCUUUCUUCUCACGAAGUCGAUCAUGAAGCAGACAACACCGGUAUAUACUCGCCGUAAUGGUAGAUUUAUCUUUCACAUAUGAUUUCAUCAAAAUAGAGACAUGCACUCACCGUGACAGUAGAUUUAUUCUUCUGUCUUAUAAGGGCAGAUUAAUUUAUUUCUGAUGUUUCUAGUGCUGGUUUAGUGAGGCGUACUCGGCAGGGUGCGCGACGAGGUAAGCCUCGACCAUCUUGAGCAGGUCGAGGUACCCCGCGACGAGCGCCGCCUGGUCCUCCGCCGACAGCGCCCCGCUGCCGUCGAGCCUCUCGUACUCCACCCUGAGCUUCGCCACGCAAGCACCCUCCCCGGCCGCCUCGAGCUUCACCUCGGCCACCUGCGACUUGAGCUGGCCGCUCACCUUGCUGCCCUCCAGCACCUCCGUCUUGAUCACGCGGGCCGCGUUGUCGCGCGCCACCAGGCGGGUCCUCAUCAGGCCCGAGCCCGCGAGCUCCGCUGCCGCCGGGCUGAGCGUCAUGGUGGAGACGCUGCCGGGUCCGCCGUCGCCCUCGACGUCCACGGCGUCGAUGAAGCCCGCGCAGGCCUUGGGCAGGGCGGCCGUGUCCUCGCCGGAGAAGACCACCUUCCACAUCCGCUCCGUCGACACCGCCAGGGCGCACUCGUCGGUGAUGACACAGCCGGCGACCAUCUUGUUCUUGUCCGUGUCGGUCACUGGCUCGCUGCACACUAGCGCUGCUGGUAAGUUGUUUCAAACUACUAUUGAAGAGUGACGAGUGAGAGCAAGCAAGGGGGCUGAUUUAUAUAGAGUACUGUAGGUGCAAGAGAAAAUUCACAGCAAGCACAGGGAUUCAUAAAAUAGCAAUUGAUCAACUUGGACCGGAGAUCACAUGGUUGGACUCUUGGUGCAUUCAGGCUGCUAUUUCUUUCCGCAGCUGUUCAAUCUUCUUCCCAUGUGUUCCUGUGCAGAGACUAUUCUCCAGCAUACUUUUUUUUGCGGGUAAACAAAACUUGUAUUACUCAAUUAUCAAGUCCUUACAAUCCUCUAGGACAAUCUUCACAACAUCCUCAGGUCCUGACCCAACCCAUGUCAUGGUCCGACCUUCUAAUCUAGCAAAGCUGGCAAGCCUAUCACUCGCUUUAUUCUGACAGCGAGGGACAUGAGUAAUACAAGAGUGCCUAAGGUUUAACAGAAAUUUAAUUUCACCAACUAAAGAAGCAUAAACUGAACGGUCCAUCACACCACUGGAUAGCAUCUCCACCGCCACCCUCGAAUCCAUCUCGAUUUCAAUGGGAAGAUCAUAUCGUUGAAUUGCAAAAGACAACCCUUCCAUGCAAGCACAUAACUCCGCUUCUAGUGCGUCUCUACACGAGAACAAAGCCCUGCAUGCUUAGAAGACAAUAGUGCCAUCAACAUUCCGCAAUAUCAUCCCAGCUCCCGCGCCACCUUCCGAUGAGUAAGAACCAUCCGUAUUAAGCUUGACCCAACCAUGUUGAGGCGGUUUCCAUGAAGUUUCAGCAACAGGGGCUUGCACUUGUGGUAAGGCUGUUUGUUCAAAAUUAAUGUUGUGCUUUCCCUUUGCCAGGUCCAUAUGGGGGUUUAUUUUGAUGCAGAACAAAAUAUCCAUAUAUUCCUGUAAGAACAGCACCGAGACAACCAUAGGUGGGGCAGGUUUGAAGUGAGUAAUUUCGUUCCGGACAUACCAGCUUCUCCAAAAUAUUAGCAUCACCAUACUUCUCUGAAUAUCAGUUAGAGGAGCUAGGACCUGCAGUUAGCCAUUCCUUCCCAAUGGGUUUCAACGAUUCAAGUGAUGGUACAGACCACAAUUCAGCCAUGGCCAAGUACAAAUCUCGCCCAAACUGGCACUCACAAAUGGAUGGAAAUUGUCCUACUCCUCCAUUCCACAAACUUGACAGCUGCUAGACGUUUCGAGGCCAAUCUUGUGCUUGUUUUUCCAUGUCGGAAGUGAGUCAUUCGACAGUCUCCAAGCAAAAUUACGCAUAGUUGGUGGAAUGCUGCAACUCCAUAUGUACUGCCAACAUUUCCUGCUUCCGUCAGGUGAAAUACUAGACGCCUCCGAGGACCCCCUGUGAGCCUCGUCAAAAGCCAGUGCAUAAGCAGACUUCACAGUAAAAACUCCCAUCUUCCCCGAACCCCAUGCAAUGAUAUCUUCCGCCAGUCUCGGCGAUGCCCUUAUCUUCAACCAUUCCCAACCCUCCAUAAUAGACCUUUCUUCAAAAGGUCAAGGCCGUGACUUAUAGCUUGCCACGAGGAAGAAGCGUUUCCUGAAAACACCGUAUCUACAAGGUUACCAUGAGGAUAAUAUCGAGCUUUCAGAAGUUGGGCACAUAAACUGUCCGGCUUAGACAACAAACGCCAAGCUUGGCGAGGCAACAAUGCUUGAUUGAACAAAUGAAAGUCUCGAAAUCCUGCACCCCCUUUAUCUUUCGGCUGCAUUAGGUAAUCCCAGCCUCUCCAAUGGACCUUCCUUUUACCCUUCCUAGAUCCCCAAUAAAAGUUCCUCACUAUCCGUGUUAAAUCAUCACAAACCGAGAAAGACAGUUUGAAUACACCCAUAAUAUAAGUUGGUAAAGCCUGCGCAACUGACUUAAUCAACACCUCCCUACCUGGCUGUGCUAGGAGCCCAUCUCCCCACUGAAUCAAACGUUUUGUGAGACUAGUUUGGAGGUUUUGAAAACGUCCUUUAGACAUUCUCCCUUCAGGAGUAGGCAGGCCCAGGUAUUUUUCCUCAAACACCAAGCUUGUAACUCCCAACACAUCUCUUACUUGCUCCUGUGUUGUCGCCGGGCAAGCAGCACCAAAAAAUAUAGAACAUUUACUAUAGUUCAAGCUUUGGCCAGUGGCAGAUCCAUACAACUCUAGGGCAGUCUUCACACUCUCCGCUUGGGCACUAGAGGCCUCAAAGAAUAAUAGUGUAUCAUCAGCAGAUAGCAAAUGGGAAAUACCCGGAGCCCUUCUACAGACUUUGACAGGAGUAAUCUCACCCAAGGUCACUUUAUUCUUUAAAAUUGCUGACAAGCCAUCCGCAACAAGAAGGAAUAAGAAUGGUGAUAGAGGGUCACCUUGCCGAAGCCCACGCGUCGGUGCAAAUGAAUCCAAGAGAGUCCCAUUUAAUUCUCCAGCAUACUAUUCUUGUUGUUGAUGUAGACUGGGGCUGGGCUGGGCCAGUAUUAGGUUGAACAUCGCAUAGCUUACCGGACCAACCGGCACACACGCUAGGAGCAACUAAGAGCAUCUCCACUCGCCCCCCCCCCCCAACAGGGUAUUUACUAUUCGCUGCUCGUUGCGUUGAAAUGUCGACCCACCUCACAGGCCAACGACUCGACCGGUGGAUCUAAGCCGGCCCACUAAGAUCGCGACCACAGUGGGAGCAACCGGUUUUGGGAACCUUCUAGAUGGUUUCCAGAAUUGGGUUUUUCUGUUUAUUUUCUUCUACUGGCUUUUCGGGGUUUUUCUGUGUCUUUUUCUCUUCCUUUUUAUUUUUUCUUUUCUUUUAUGUUUAUUAUUUUGUAUAUAAUUUUUUUCUUUUCUUAUCUUUUUUUUAAAAAUCGACAAUUUUAAAUUUUGUUCGUGUUUCCAAAAUAUGUUCUCAUUACACCUUCCGAAAUUUAGAAAUUAUACCGGAUUUCAAUUUUUUGUUCACAUAUUCAAAAAA